rnacentral:lncRNA from 1 species
CUCCCUCCCAACACACUGUCAACCUCCAGAAAUCUGCCCCUGCACACUGUCACCUGUCCUUUUCCCUGUCAACCUCCAGAAAUCUGCCUCUGCACACUGUCACCUGUCCUUUUCCCUAGGGUCAGCCUGGUGCUGACAAUUAUGAUGGGCCUAAUUACAAAAUCUUAUCGACCAAAAACACUAACACAGUCCUACCUCCCAAGCCUCAUGUAUCUGAUGGAGAUGGUGCUGGAGGGAAACUCAUAGGAUGCAGCAAUGAGAAAACACAUACCCACGCUUUCAUCUUUCAAGUAAAUCCAUAUCCACUAACAACAGUGUCCAGUAAAGCAGGAAGUCUAUGGACAGGGUAAAAGGGUGGGCCACUGACGCAAAUCACAUAACCAGAACUGCCGAAAGGGGCGAACAAACCCAAAAAGGGGGCAUCUGUGUCCCCAUGUCUCCCAGUCCCUUAGUGUCUGUGUCCCCAUGUCUCCCAGUGUCCCCAUGUCACUAGGACACUGGGUGACUUUGAGACACGAGGGGACACUGGAAGGGCACUGAGACACUGUGAUACAUAGGGGACACUGGAGACUUGAUAAAAGUGUUGCGGUGUCCAAUAAACCUGCUUAAAUCUAUCACAGUGAGUGCCUGAGAUUUUUUUCUUUUAUACUAGGGGACACUGGGAGACUAGGGGACUCUGGGAGACACUACAGACACUGAGAAACACCAGGGACACAUGGGGCACCGAGACAUUGUGAUACAUAGGGGACACUGUGAUACAUAGGGGACGCUGGAGACUUGAUAAAGACCUGGGUACAGGUCAAAACGUUGCAGUGUCCAAUAAACCUGCUUAAAUCUAUCACAGUGAGUGCCUGAGAUUUUUUCUUUUAUACUAGGGGACACUGAGACUCUGGGAGACUAGGAAACACAGACACUAGGGACACUGGCACACUACGAACACUGAGAGACACCAGGGACACAUGGGGACACUGAGAUACUAGGGACACUGGCUGGGAGACAUGGGGACACUGGGAGUGCCCCAUGUCUCCUUGUGUCCCCCAAUGUCCCCUAGUGUUUGUAUCCCCAUGUCUCCCAGUGUCCCUUAGAGUCUGUGUCCCCAUGUCUCCCAGUGUCACUGGGAGAGACAUGGGGUCACAGAUACAUGGGGACACUGAGAGACUAGGGGACUCUGGGAGACUAGGGACACAUACACUAGGGACACAUACACUAGGGACAGUCAGAGACACCAGGAGACAUGGGGACACUGAGAGACACCAGGAACACUGGGAGACAUGGGGACACUGGCUGGGAGACUGUGUCCACAGUGUCUCAGGGUCCCCAUGUUCCCCAGUGUCUCAAUGUCUCAGUGUCUCCAAGUCUCUCACUGUCCCUGUCUCACAGUUUCCCCUGUUGUCUGUGUCCCCAGGUCUCCAAGUGCCCCUUUGUGUCUCAGUGUCACCAAGUGUCCCUAUGUCUCCCAGUGUCCCCAAGUCUCUCACUGUCCCCAUCUCUCACAGUUUCCCCUAGUGUAUGUGUGCCCAGGUCUCCCAGUGCCCCCUAGUGUCUCAGUGUCCCCAUGUCUCACAGUGUCCCCUAGUGUCUCCCAGUGUCCCCUAGUGUCUGUGUCCCCAUGUUUCCCUGCAGCCUUUCCCCCCAUCCCUCACUUACCUGAGCUGUUAGCUGUCUCUGCAUUCUCAGAGCUGCUGUCUGGACUCUCUGUGCAGAGCUGCUCCCCUGCAGAUCAUUGAGUAGAGAGGGGAAUGGAGGGAGAUGCUGUCACUUCUUAUCCCUGCCUCUCUCCACACACACAGCAACCCCUACUGGCCAACGCUGGUAUUGCUGAUUAAUCUCUGUUCAUACUGACACUGACAUUUGUAUUGCUGGUAUUACUGCAAUACCAGCACCGGCUAGGCAGUCUCAAAUACCUGAGCAAUACUUUUGAGAAAUACCUGGCAACGCUAAG